GCCAAGCAUGGUGGCGCAUACCUGUAGUCCCAACUACUUGAGAGGCUGAGGUGGGAGGAUUGCAUGAGGCCAGGAGUUUGAGGCUGCAGUGGGCUAUAUUCAUGUCAGUGAAUAGCCACUGCACUCCAGCCUGGUCAACAGGGCAAGACCCUGUCUCUA
rfam:Nomascus leucogenys chromosome 18, whole genome shotgun sequence.